AUUCCAGCUCCAAUAGCGUAUAUUAAUGUUGUUGCAGUUAAAAAGCUCGUAGUUGGAUUUUUGCUGAGGACGACCGGUCCGCCCUCUGGGUGAGUAUCUGGCUCGGCCUGGGCAUUUUCUUGGAGAGCGUAGCUGCACUUGAUUGUGUGGUACGGUAUCCAGGACUUUUACUCUGAGGAAAGUAGAGUGUUUCAAGCAGGCACACGCCUUGAAUACAUUAGCAUGGAAUAAUAAGAUAGGACCUUGGUUCUAUGUUGUUGGCUUCUAGAGCUGAGGUAAUGAUUAAUAGGGAUAGUUGGGGGGCAUUCGUAGUUAAUUGUCAGAGGUGAAAUUCUUGAAUUUGUUAAAAUCGGAUUACUGCGAAAGCAUUUGCCAAGGAUGUUUUCAUUA
rnacentral:rRNA from 1 species